AUGAACGCUAGCGGCAGGCUAGCACAUGCAAGUCGAGGGGCAUCGGGAGUAGCAAUACUGCCGGCGACCGGCGCAAGGGUGCGUAACGCGUGAGCAACAUGCCCGUAUCAGGGGGGAUAAUCCAUGGAAACGUGGUCUAAUACCCCAUAGUAAUUAUGUAAGGCAUCUUAUAUAAUUUAAAGCUUUGGUGGAUACGGAUUGGCUCGCGUGACAUUAGCUGGAUGGUAAGGUAACGGCUUACCAUGGCUACGAUGUCUAGGGGUUCUGAGAGGAAGGUCCCCCACACUGGAACUGAGACACGGUCCAGACUCCUACGGGAGGCAGCAGUGAGGAAUAUUGGACAAUGGAUGGAAAUCUGAUCCAGCCAUGCCGCGUGCAGGAAGAACCGGCCCUAUGGGUUGUAAACUGCUUUUGUAUGGGAGCAAUAAGGGCUACGUGUAGUCCGAUGAGAGUACCAUACGAAUAAGCACCGGCUAACUCCGUGCCAGCAGCAGC
rnacentral:rRNA from 1 species